rnacentral:snRNA from 1 species
AAACCAUCUCUCCAACAUCUGUCACCCCAUUGAUUGCCAGGGUUCAGCUGAUUUGGCCAGCUAGACAGAUGUUCCAGAUAUCCCCCCCCCCAAUGGCUCUACGUGUGUCCCUCAGGAAGCUGCAGUGCUCAAUCCAAGAGGACAACCUUUCCUGAAUAGAGAAGGAUGGAUCGCAGGCUG